rnacentral:rRNA from 1 species
CCCCUAGACGUUCUGGGCUGCACGCGCGCUACAAUAAUACGCACAGCGAGUAUCACCGAGCUCGAAAGGGCAAGGUAAACAAUAGAAAAGGUACUGUAAUGGUUAUAGAUCCUUGUAAUUAUUGAUCUUCAACGAGGAAUUCCUAGUAAGUAUGUGUCAUCAUCACGCACUGAUUACGUCCCUGCCCUUUGUACACGCCGCCCGUCGCUCCUACCGAUUGGGUGAGCCGAUGAAACUCUCGGAUGUAGGCUAUUCAUAGCCCGCAGAAGAGAUUUGAAUCGUAGCGCUUAGAGGAAGGAGAAGUCGUAACA